AGCAGCGCACAGGUACCGGGCCCCGGGAAGCCAUUCGAUUUAGAAGAAAUACGCUGAUGGUUGCCCUGCGGACCCCUGCCCACACCGCCCGAGGGACUCCUUCCCACGUCCGCUCCGGAGCCCAGAAGUUAGCUGCGGAGUUUGUUUGUCGCGCCCGCGCACCUAGAGUGUGCAAGGAGAGCCGGCGCCCGCCCGCCCGCCCGCCCGAGCUCUGCCCCGUUCUCUGCUCCUGCAGUUCCGCCGCCGCCGCCGAGAGCUCGGGGCGACAGCGAGCGGCUGCGGCGGCGCGAAACCCCGGCGGCAGCCGCCGAGUCUCUGUAGCCGGGCCGGGAAAGCCGGGAGCGGCCCGCGCAGAAGCAUCCUUGAGUAACCGGGGAAAUGAGGACGCUAGCGUGAGCUUUGUAGGAACAACAAAGGCAAGAAAAGGCGUCUGCACCAGGAUGGCCGAGUGGUUAAGGCGUUGGACUUAAGAUCCAAUGGACAUAUGUCUGCGUGGGUUCGAACCCCACUCCUGGGCGCUGCUACAAGCCAGCCUAAUUUCCCGUAGUAAAGGGACCGUGUCUCCAGGAACCGACCGUUCAUUCAGUUGUCUGGAGUCGUAGAAAAAUAUUUUUCAAAAAACUCCCAACUCUGUGGGAAAUGGUAUCAGUAUAUUUAAAUUGUGACACCUACUGGAAAACUUGAGGCUGGAGAGAUGGUUCAGCAGUUAAGAGCACUGACUGCUCUUCUAGAGGUCCUGAGUUCAAAUCCCAGCAACCACAUGGUGGUUCACAACCAUCUGUAAUGAGAUCUGAUGCCCUCUUCUGGUGCAUCUGAAGACAGCUACAGUGUACUUAUUUAUAAUAAUAAAUAAAUCUUUUUUAAAAAAGAUUUCAUUUCAAAAACAGGAAUUUUAGAGGAAGGCAUAGAUUGCAUUUUUCUGAUUUAUUUAUUGAAUUUCUUGUUUCACUUAACAGUCUUUAAAUGCCUAGUUUUCCAGUGGCCUUCUUCAAAGGCAGAAUUUUGUAAUGUCUUGGGUUUUUUUUUUUUUUUUUUUAUAAAGUAAUGUUUUGAAAUCUAACUUG
rnacentral:lncRNA from 1 species